rnacentral:lncRNA from 1 species
ACAAUCUAAAAAAUUCCCCAAAAAUUCCAGUGUGACGACCCGACCCGUCGUCUCAUGUGUUACUGCUCCAUUUUCUCCGUUUUAUGCUUCUUCAUUAUCAGUACGUGGUGUGUUAGAGUUGAUUUCGAUUGGUAUUGGUGAAAAAUGAGAUACUUAGUCUCUUUAAGGAAGGUUUAAAUUCGAAAAGUCAAUCGGACAUUGACUUAUGCGUUAUAGGGCUCGGAUGUGAUUUAUGAUGAUUCAAUUAGCUUCAGGUGGUAAUUUGUGAUUUAGGAGUGCGAUCGAAAUUAAUUUUGUAGGUCCGGUGUAGAACUAGG